CUCAUCACGUUUUUUCCGAAAGAUGUCUGUCCUCACUCUGGUUGCCUAUGGACAAACAUUAAGAAUAAGCUACGUGACCUCGGGAAGAUUUCACAGGCCAAACCCAAGAAAACACAGAGACUUCUCAUCAGAAGAUGCAGCUCAUAAACUGUCAAUUUUUAUCUGCUGAGGAAAAGGAUGUGUUCUCUUGGUUUCCAAAGAUUGUCAACAACAACAACAACAACAACAACAACAACAACAACAACAACAACAACAGCAGCAGUAGUAACAUGCAAGUAACAUGCAACCCGUAAGCAACAAUUACGUAAUAUACAAAAGCUUUGUGUCAAUGUAUGUUACUUUUGUGAAAUAUUCACAACAUUUAUUGCAAAAGCUGCCAAAGGCCAAAGGUUUUGGAAAAAUGUUAUGUUUUAUAACAUUUUUUAGAUGCAUUUUCCUCUGGAUAUUCCUUAAGCCUGUCCUGUGUUUUUUUUAACAUAGUUAGACUCAAACUCAAAGGAUUCUAAACAGUGAGCCCUGCAACUACUCAUGGUUAUACAAGAUGUCUUUGUGUCAUUAUGAAAGGAGAGGAAAAUGAAUUACUCUUCUGGUAUCUGUUUACCAGAUGACCCUGUGGUAAUGUUUUUUUCUUCUGUUUGACUCUGGAUCCUUUAUAAAAGGUACCUUUAAAAUCUGUUGGGUCAUAUUUAAAAGACAAAUCUAUUGCUUCUUCCAUGUGUUUAUUUGUUUUGCCGUCUUUGCUAAUACGGAAUGUGAGGCAACAUCAAGGUCACCCAAGACUCCUUUGCCCCAGCCAAUCUUACUGCACUGUAUGAUAUUAGAACAUGUCCUUAUUAAUUACCCAAUUGAGUCACUCCAUUUAUAAAAAGUGAUUUUCUCUGCCAUUGGCCUUGAGAGCCUUUCCUGUGUAGAAUUUUGCAGUCGAUGUGAUGUAUAGUUAAUGUCCUACUAGAGUCAUUUUGUAAGUACUCAAAAAUGCAUGUAGGAGGUCUUAUUUUCACAUCCAUCGAUGUUUUAUGUAACUGCUGGAGAAAAAAACAGCCACUUAACAUCACAUGGUAAAAUUGCCUGAAGAAAAAGUGGUAAUUUGAAAUAGCAGAAUCAAGCAAGCAAGUAUAGUCUACGUAGUUUCUAAAAAACAGACCUUGCAGGAAUCCUCCCACAAUUCAGCCGGUGCAGUGCUCCCUGGCAGGGAUGUCAUUACCUAUUCAUCAGAAGUGCUUGCCACUCUCUAUGGAAAUGAAAUGCUAAAACAUCCAAUCACUUCCUGUAGUUGCAAAACUUACUUGACAUGUACUUAACCUCAUCCUAUAAUUUUCUAAUCUAUUCUCCCUGUAUACUUGGAUCUUGUUUACAAGUGGGCCACACCACAACCCAGUUCAUAAACAGGGAUGACAUAGCAAUAAACUGUUUAAAGAUAAUAUUCUCAAACAAAAGAGG